rnacentral:lncRNA from 1 species
CGCACAGCGCGCCUUCCCGCCUCCCAGCCGCCGCCCAAGCAGUUCCCGGCCGGCGCCAGCAGGCCUGCUUGGUCGAUCUUCGAGCCGAAGAUGCGGCGGGGCUGGAAGAUGGCUCUGUCUGGGGGGUUGCGGUGCUGCCGCCGGGUACUGUCCUGGGUGCCAGUGCUCGUUAUUGUCCUCGUCGUUCUCUGGUCCUACUAUGCCUACGUCUUUGA